rnacentral:lncRNA from 1 species
CUUGUUUAACCUCGGGAAGGCAGAGUCUCCUGACUGUGGCCACCAUUUCUGGUACAGUAGUGUCCCCUGUCUAUGUACUGACAGCCCAUGGCAUACUAUACUGAAAUGACCUCUUUGGCCGUCUGGUCCACAUGCUCACUUGUGGGUCCUAUGGUGCUGUCUUAGUCUAACUUCCCUUGACCGCUUCUACUUCAAGAUAAACACACUUUCUCAAUUAUCUGCUUCAAUACCCAGUAUCCCGGAAGGAAGGAAUAUCAACCAUUCAGCAACAGAUUCCAAGAUUAAGUGCAUGAGCAAGAGUUUGAUCAAGUCUCCAUGGUGACGUGCUACAAAGAAGACACUGUUGGAUAAGAUCAAAUGGGAAUAGAAUUGCAAAGCAGGCACAGUUCCAGAAGCUUCCUUGUCUUUUGGAUGAUAAGAGAGAGAUGAUUUGAAAAAUCAAAUAGCCAAGUCUUUGAAGUUUUAGGAUUUCAGUUGGCUCACGCGCCAUGCUUUCUCGUGGCUAUGAGGAGUUCAAGCUGUUUGAGGUAGGAAGGGAGAGAAGAUUGAAGAAGGAAGCGUUUGGGAAAGAGGAGGUCCAAGCAGAUGCUGAGAGGGCGAAAAUCCUUAACAGUAUGUUACAGAUGAAGAAACAGAUUUUCAGAGAGGCAAGCAACUGAUCAAGCUCGUGUAGUCAAGCAACAAAGCUAGAGUCCUACCCAGCUGCUUAGGGAUGACACCUGUUGGUGGCAGGAACCAAAAGACACUUUGAGAAAUGCAGCUUUACCCAGCUGACUGAGAUCAGGGAAGAAUCCGAGAUCUUCCGCUCCCUUACCGGUUGCCCCUCGCUGAAGACAGCUCUCUAAAUUCACUUGCCGCCGGCCAUUACAUAUCCAAACUACUGAAAGAUUACUUUUGCUUUCUUUUCCAUCCCUUUAUUAUCUGCUCAUUUCAAAUAUCGAUUAAGCACCCCUGUGUGCCAGGCACUGUUCAAAUUUCUGAGUACAUAGCAAUAAACAAAACAGCCAAUAA